AUUGAACGCUGGCGGCAGGCCUAACACAUGCAAGUCGAGCGGAGCGGCGGCCGCGUGAGUAAUGCCUAGGAAUCUGCCUGUUAGUGGGGGAUAACGUCCGGAAACGGGCGCUAAUACCGCAUACUCUCAGAUGAGCCUAGGUCGGAAUAGCUGGUUGGGGGGGUAAAGGCCUACCAAGGCGACGAUCCGUAACUGGUCUGAGAGGAUGAUCAGUCACACUGGAACUGAGACACGGUCCAGACUCCUACGGGAGGCAGCAGUGGGGAAUAUUGGACAAUGGGCGCAAGCCUGAUCCAGCCAUGCCGCGUGUAUGAAGAAGGUCUUCGGAUUGUAAAGCACUUUAAGUUGGGAGGCGUUACCGACAGAAUAAGCACCGGCUAACUUCGUGCCAGCAGCCGCGGUAAUUC
rnacentral:rRNA from 1 species